GAGGGUAUAGCUCAAAUGGCAGAGCGCAUACUUUGUAUGCAUGAGGUCCUGGGUUCAACCCCCAGGACCUUCU
rnacentral:tRNA from 1 species